CCAUCACCGCUCAGUCAUAUUUCCCAUUUUAAAUACAACAAAGUGGGGGCGCUGGCAGACUGGAAAUGG
rnacentral:pre_miRNA from 1 species